GUGACGGAAGCCGCGGUAAUACAGAGGUCUCAAGCGUUGUUCGGAUUCAUUGGGCGUAAAGGGUGCGUAGGCGGCGCGGUAAGUCGGGUGUGAAAUUUCGGAGCUUAACUCCGANACUGCAUUCGAUACUGCCGUGCUUGAGGACUGGAGAGGAGACUGGAAUUUACGGUGUAGCAGUGAAAAUGCGUAGAGAUCGNAAGGAAGACCAGNNGCGAAGGNGGNUCUCUGGACAGNCCUGACGCUGAGGCACGAAGGCCAGGGGAGCAAACG
rnacentral:rRNA from 1 species